AUUGAACGCUGGCGGCAGGCCUAACACAUGCAAGUCGAACGAGUGGCGGACGGGUGAGUAAUGUCUGGGAAACUGCCCGAUGGAGGGGGAUAACUACUGGAAACGGUAGCUAAUACCGCAUACCAUCGGAUGUUCCCAGAUGGGAUUAGCUAGUAGGUGGGGUAACGGCUCACCUAGGCGACGCUCCCUAGCUGGUCUGAGAGGAUGACCAGCCAUACUUGAACUGAGGCACUGUCCAGACGCCGAGGGGAGGCAGCGGUGGUGGAUAUUGCACAAUGGGCGCAAGCCUGCUGCAGGCAUGCCGCGUGUAUGAAGAAGGCCUUCGGGUUGUGAAGUACUUUCAGCGAGGAGGCGUUACGCGCAGAAGAAGGACCGGCUAACUCCGUGCCAGGAGCCGGGGGAAUAC
rnacentral:rRNA from 1 species